rnacentral:rRNA from 1 species
GUUUCCGUAGGGUGAACACUGCGGAAGGAUCAUUA